rnacentral:lncRNA from 1 species
GGGUUGGUUGGAAGCGGUUGGCGGGCGGGCGUAUGGCGGCCAGGCCUAGAAGGCCACGGUCGCCGUGAGUGCCUUGGGGGCCAAGCUUUUUGAUGCCCUAAAUCGCCAAGGCAAGGUGGGAAGGUCAGGGACCCCCAUGGACCAUCCCUUGGGCUCAUGAUGGCGGUAGGCUAACUCACUACACAGAGAGGGCUAUCGCCGAGGCACCGCGGAGAGAGGCUUUUCCAGGGCCUGGAGGUGGUGGGCCAGGCCUAUGGAGAAAGAGAGCUUACUGCUCCGAUGCAGACGAGCAGUACAAGAUGGACAGAUUUCAUUUCCCAGAGAUGCUGAACCCUGCACAAGGUGAAAGGUGCUCACCGAGAAGCCGACUCACCCUCUGGCUCUGCAGAGAGUGGCCCCACUGCGCAAGGACUGUUGGGGCCGAAAAGGAUUAACCUUAUGAGGAGAGAAGCUGGGGUCUGAAGACCCCAAUCUCGCCUCGGGGCAAAAAGAAGGGAUGUACCUACCUUCAAACCACUGCGAACUUUCUAAAGCUCCGCGCCUCAGCUUGUGGCUCUCACGCUACAUGAGAAAAACAGGUACGUCAGCAAGAGCAUCAUGGCUAGGGGGCGGCCAGAGACCACUGGAUCCUGCUGUUGGACUCGGAAGAACAAGGUAAAACGACCUGCUUGUUCCAGAGCGCGCUUGGAAGAGCCGAUGGACUCAGUUAAAACAGUUCUGCCAACAUCAUAUGGAGCACAAAGACAUUGGUCUAGCCAAUUUUAGGGCACACAGAGAGAGGAAAACAGGACUGUGGGUGCUGGUAAAUGCCCGUUUGAUGGAAACUGAUGCCAGCUGUCAGCAGUGAGGUGGAUGAUGGUUUUUAGUGUGUGUGGGAAAGUGCCUCAUUUUUCAGGGGAAAGCUUUAUGCCCGUGAUAGAGAUGGCAGCCCACAUCCUAUGCACUAGUACAGAAACACCAGGACUGCCCACAUUAUUAAAAACUAUGCAUUACAUAAUACAUAUCUUGGACCAGGGUUCUGCAUUAGCACUGCUCUUUCUUGCAAGAUGCGUUUGAAUCAGCUAUGGACAGUUAACAAAGCAUACGCUUCCGAGCCCCGGUCAUCUGUACAGUUACAAAUUCAUUUCAGCACGUGCUCAGCACGGACUCCAGGAGGAGCAGGGCUGCACCAAAAGACAGCUCCAUCUUGCACUUAGUGCCGAGGUUGAGCAAAUGGAUCUGCACAGAAAAUGCUCUUUAAAAUGCAUUAUGUGCAGGACUUUAAAAAGUGCUUGCUGCAGAGUGAAUUUCAAAAGGGGCCAAGUAGGUGAUGAACGACCUCAGUUGUUACCAGCUGGGGUACAAGGGGUUCUCUGUGUUUGCAGGUAAAUAAAGUGUGGUCAUAUAUUACCUUUAGACUUUCAGGAAGGAGGCUUCUAGACCAGUUGGGCAGGAAGGCAGUUUCCAGUUGCUUACAGUAUCAUAUAGAAGGGUUCUUAUUUGGAUGUAUUGGGAAGAAGAUUCUUUUGAGCUUAGAGGACUGUCCUGUGGAAAUGGCUUCACUAGUUAUUUGACAUAGCUCCAGGGGGCAAAAUGAGGGCCUAGAUGGGUGCUGUGUACAGGUAGGCUUCAGCCCAAGGAGGAAUAUUCUAGCAAGUAGGACUCUGAAGGAGAAUGGACUCGGCGUCGGCAGGAGCUAUGCUAAGUCAAAGGACAGAUGACUACAUGUUAGAUAGAGGUUUCCAUGGAGCUUGUGAAACUGCUAGAGCUAAGACAAGGUUUGACCACGGCCCUCUGUAGUUGCUCCCCCAGGGCUGUAGGAGAGGGCUUGGGGUGGGGGUGGGGGUUUCAAGCCUCCCACUCUGCCUCAGUUUCGUUCUCACUCCUGGAGCCAAGGUGUCAGUCAGGGCCAUCUAUUCAUUACAUUGGCCUCUGGGCCUCCCCUCCUGGAGCUGUCUUGGAAAUUACAAAAUAAAAUUGGCUAUUUAGUGGU